rnacentral:lncRNA from 1 species
GGGAUUGCAGUGGCAAAGCUAGGCUAGGUCUUGGAGGCUGGUGUAAGGCGAUGCGGGUGAAGCCAGGAGGCUGAUGGAAAGACUGGGGGGAAGAAAAGCCGAAAUGGAUUCACGGUGCUUUGGAUGAAGGACGAGAGGGGAACUGCAAGCUCCUUCAACUCGUUCUGUCCGGUGAGAAGUGAUCAAGCUUGGGCUGACAAGAGGCUCAGGGAGCCCUCACGUUCUUUCGCUUUUUUACCUGCCAAUCAAACUGCUACAAGACAACACCCUGAUCUGGCAUGGACAUCCUCAUGCAUCCCCAACUGCUGUAAUUAAAGACACGCUAUUUAAAUACAGGUGAAGGGUUUUUUUUUUUUUUUUUUUUAGUUGGGUGGAGGGGGUGGGUGGAUUACAAUUUUAUUUAGAUUUUUUCUUAUACUGUACUUGGCUGUUACGUAGUCCCAAAUUAGAUUUUAUUAUUAUUAUUGUUUGGAGCCAAUCCUUGUCAUUUAUACCUGGCUUUGCAGACUUGGAAGUGUGAAAUGUGUCACUCACAUAAAAGGCCCUGUUUAAAGAAAGGGCGGGGCGGGAGAGUGCAGAGGAGUAAUAUUUAGGGGUGAUUUAAGUAUUUGGGUCUCCUUUUUUUUCCUCCUUCAAAUUAAUAGAAAGGCCUUCGAUAUAGUUAAAGGUAUUUGAAACUUGGGUCAGGGUUAACAGGCCAAAGGGAUCAGUGUCAGCUUUUUAAGUACUUCUAAAAAGAUCAUGUGAACAGAUGGAAAAAUACAUUUUUAAUUAAAUAAUUUCCCACACACUAUAGCUGCAGUGUUGGCUCAGAAACAGUAUAAUUUCUCAUCCGAUAGGAGUUUCUUUAUGAGAACAUCAAAGGAUAAAAAGCUCUACAUUUUCGUAGUUGGUUAAAAUUGAUAACCCCCCCACGCGCGCGCGCGCACACACGCGCACACACACACACAUGCACACACACAUAUACCAAAAAAAGAAUUUAGCCUUUAAUCUCUUUUUAUCCACGAAGACUAAAGCUCUGUACUCGACCCUGCGAGCGGCUCUAGCCUUCCGGGGCUGGAACCCGACUCAGAUGUGAAGCGGCGCUGAGCGGCGGCGCAGGUUCGUGCCCAGCGCCCCCUGUUGGACACAGUAGGAGCUGCGCAGCGCCAGUCCCGGAAAUCGCUAGAAUCUUGCUAGAAAACUCUUUAUUGCCCUCCAAAAAAGAAAUGGGGUGCGGAAGCCAAUUUUGAUGUCACUGAAAGAUAAUAUAAUUUUAACUCAAUAAAAAACUAAAGAGGCGAUGCUGCAGUUUUAAUUCAAUAAAAAAUAAAGACUAUCCUAGUCCUCCUCCUCACGUCCCAGCCAUCCCGGUUUAGUGUUGUAACUCCUUUUAAAGGUUCUGCGGUGGUGAAACAGGUAAAAAAAAAAAAAAACGUGAUGAAAAACAAAGCGUUUUUUUGUUUUUUGUUUUUUUUUUUCUGUAGCCGUGGAGAAUCAAGCGAAGGAUACUUUCCCCGUUUUGUACACAUUUCAAAAAAUUAAGCGGAAGACGCUGCUGCUUGUUGUUUUGACGUUGUCAGCAGCGUCUUGAAUGCCCUCGGAGAUCCUGCAAAUAUUGUAACUGAGCCUCCGAGUAAGCGAAAUGACUUGCUCUUAUGUGUUUAUUUCCAGAGUGUAAUUAAAAGACCAGUGUCUUCUUUGAGUGCUUCCCAUCCCCCAAACCAAUCUUGGUCAAACUUUUUCCUUCCCAAAUGCUGGCUAAGAAACACAUGCUGGCUAAGAAACAGGUGCCUGGUAUCCUUUUUUCUUUUAAGGUAGCCGUAGAAUUUUAGGGAAGGUGUGCCAAUGGUAAGGAAUGUUUUCUUUGAAAUUCAGCAUUUCGUUGACCAGGAAUUCAAAUUAUCCUAGGGAAAGAGGAGUAUUUUUACACUUCCAAAAACUACCUGUCUACAUAAUAAAGAGCUUUGACUUUUUUCUUCUUCUUCUUUUGGUCAGCAAGUGAGGACAAAAGUAGCCUUUGAAUUAUUUCAGAAAGAGAAACUGUAAAAAUGACACAUCCUCUGAAUUUAAAACAAUAGGGAAAUGUGGGUUUGCUUAAUUGUAUAAAAUCAAAUAGAAAUAAUUCGUGAGCAAGAUGUUUUAAUAUUUACAUCUUCGGGGAUAUAGUUAUUUUAACUUUUAACCUUGAGAAGUUUAGAGAUCACUUUUUUAAAAGUUUGUUUAUUGACGGCAGUCAGCUUAAUUUUUCAUAAAGGAAUGGCUUUUUAAAAAUAUUAAAUACUAUGACUAUGGAAGGUUUAUGCUACCUUUAUGUUUAUUUCUCCAACUACCUAAAAUU